rnacentral:rRNA from 1 species
ACGAAGGGUGCAAGCGUUAAUCGGAAUUACUGGGCGUAAAGGGUGCGUAGGCGGUUCGUUAGGUCUGUCGUGAAAUCCCCGGGCUCAACCUGGGAAUGGCGAUGGAUACUGGCGAGCUAGAGUGUGUCAGAGGAUGGUGGAAUUCCCGGUGUAGCGGUGAAAUGCGUAGAGAUCCGAUAGAAGACCGGUGGCGAAGGCGGCCUGCUGGGCAGUAACUGACACUGAGGCGCGACAGCGUGGGGAGCAAACAGGA